rnacentral:lncRNA from 1 species
CGAAACGUUUAGAAACACAGCCAAAAAGUAGUGCGUCACAUAUGAAAGAAAGAUUUUAGGUAUGCGCCAUGUAGUUCGAAGUAAAAU